AAAAAACACAAUAAAUAUUCAUCAGGACAGUAGCUUUAGUUAGGGCCAGAUUUAGUACUAGGCCCACAGACAUAGUCUAGACCCAGAGACAUAGACUAGACCCAGAGACAUAGUCUAGACCCAGAGACAUAGUCUAGACCCAGAGACAUACUCUAGACCCAGAUACAUAGUCUAGACCCAGAGACAUAGUCUAGACCCAGAGACAUACUCUAACCCAUAGGGUUUGAAGUGUAAGGCAGAGCUCUCCAGUGUGUGCCCCACAGCCCUGCUUGAGUUUAAGGUUUCCUGUUAAACCCAAAGCCUAAUGCACAGAUCUGGUUCUUUGGUUCUUCCCCUGUGCUGGAUGCAUUAUUUGGGUUAUGCAGUAUUUCUGUGAGAUUGGACCAAGGACCUUAACAGACCUUUGCUGUAUAAAAGCUUUGAGAGGAAAUCCUUUAGUUGGACACACACACCCUUUAUGGGAGAAAUCUCCUGUGACUAAAAAUGUGUCCAGUAUUAAUGACUGUAUGUCUAUAACUCUAUACGUAAUAUGUUUUUUUUUUGGAGAGUGUAGGAAUGUUAGUUUGUGUAUGUGUGUGUGUUUAUUUCAAUUCAAUUUCAAUUUCAAUUUCAAUUCAAUUCAAUUCAAUUUCAAUUAAAUUCAAUUCAAUUCAAUUCAAUUUAAUUUAAUUAAAUUUCAAUUCAAUUCAAUUCAAUUCAAUUCCAAUUUCAAUUCAAUUUUUAUUUAUAUAGUACCAUAACAAUACAAUUGUCUCAAGGCGCUUUAUGUUUAUGCAUUCAGUUGAUGUGUGUUUUAAAAAGCAUCACUUCAAAACUCAGUUUAAAACGAAGUAACAAAAUGCUAACUUAGUAUUACAAAUGCAAUUACAACCCAGGUUAACAUAACUAAGAAAUGGAGGACAUAAGAUGACAACUCCUAACCUCCAUUGUGUUUUGGUAGUUGAAUAUAUGAUUUAGUUUAAAUAAUCUCUUGUGACAUAGCAGUAUAUGUUUCCAGCAACCACCAGUUUAAUCAUAAUUACCACUGCAACUGUAUUAUGGUCCAUUAAUAUGUGCCUGAGGAGUAUUUCAGCAUUUACAAAAACUGCGCUAUCUUUAAAACAAAAAAAACCCAAAUCGCAGCUUCUGAUGACAUAUUACCUGACCUCUCAUGGAACCCUUCAGGCUGAGUGUAGCGCUGUGUUGCCAUGGUGACAAGCUGAGUGUAGCGCUGUGUUGCCAUGGGUACAUGCCAGGAGGACUAGCUAUGGAGAAACAUUUUAUUAGUUCUAUUUUGCAAAGAGUUUGGAAUGCUAAUUUUUUUUUUUUUAGUGUGUGUGUGUGUGAGUGUGGUUGAGCGUGUGCCCGUAUGCAUGGCAUCUGUUUAAAACCUUGUAGACUUGUAGACUUUUGUGUCUUGCCAAAAUAUACCAAGUGCCCAUGCACCCCAUAAACAUGUAAUCAAUCCUUUUGCUUGUCACCGAUAGCAGCCAGCAAUCUCACCUUUCCUCUACUUACAAAUGUGUCAUCGAUUAAUAUGCAUCUCUGCUUGUUAAGAUCUAAAUAGACUGAUUAAAUACGAAUAAGAUAGAUAGACUAGGUUAUCUGUUAGUCAUAUAGAGAUUUGUAAGCCAAAUGUUCACGUGAAAUGAACCUGCUCCAGGGCCAACUCUGAAUGUAGAAUAUGAGACUGCCCCCCCCCCCCCCCGCCCCCGCCACCCUCGAGAGGGGUCUCCUGCGCCUGCUUGUCAUGGGAGAUGUUAUGCGUAGACCAUACAUUUAGAAAUGCUGUAGACGGACCACAAGGACCAUACCGCCAUAUGUACAACCUCACACAUUUGCUAAGGCUACAGUUCAGUUCUAACCCUAACCUAACCCUAGGCUCAGCGCUCAUAGACAUGUCAUCAACCCACAAUUAAUUAGGUCAGUCUGACUAACCCUAACCCUAAUCCUGUCUGACGUUUGAGAAAACCCCAAUUAAAAAUCCAGCAGCAAAUAACCACCAUUUGAUGAAAUUUCUUAUUUUAUGUUAUUUCUUGUAGAAAUAGUUUUAUUAUUUUGCACCAAAUCAUAGUAUUUUAAUACGAUUUGGUGCAAAAAAACUGUUCUGAGUUGACAAUGUAUCCAGCAGCUAAAACCUUGACAUUGACCCAAAACAUAGUGAUGAAUCAGAGGGUCAACUCACAGGCAGAGUUACGGUUACAUACACACACACACACACUAGGAGUAUACAGUACCAGUCAAAAGUUUGGACACACCUUCUCAGUAUUUGAGAAGUUUUUUUCUUUACUUUUAUUAUUUUCUACAUGGUAGAUAACAUUUUUUUUUGUUCAGUACAUCAUUCCAUAUGUGUUAUUUCGUAGUUUAAAUAUAAGGUGUGUCCAAAAAAUAAGGUGUGUCCAAACUUUUGACUGGUACUGUAGAUGCAGGUAUAGUAGAGUAUAGUAUGCCAUGGGUCACUCAUGAAACACACCCUACACACACACACACACACACAACACACACACACACUCACACACACACACACACACUUGUAGUAGUAUUCAGGUUUAGGGGUUAGAUACUGUAGUAUAGUAGAGUAUAGUAUUCAGGUUUAGGGGUUAGGGGUUAGAUACUGUAGUAUAGAAUUCAGGUUUAGGGGUUAGAUACUGUAGUAUAGUAGAGUAUAGUAUUCAGGUUUAGGGGUUAGAUACUGUAGUAUAGUAGAGUAUAGUAUUCAGGUUUAGGGGUUAGAUACUGUAGUAUAGUAGAGUAUAGUAUUCAGGUUUAGGGGUUAGGGGUUAGAUACUGCAGUAUAGUAGAGUAUAGUAUAGUAUGCAGGUUUAGGGGUUAGAUACUGUAGUAUAGUAGAGUAUAGUAUUCAGGUUUAGGGGUUAGAUACUGUAGUAUAGUAGAGUAUAGUAUAGUAUUCAGGUUUAGGGGUUAGAUACUGUAGUAUAGUAGAGUAUAGUAUAGUAUUCAGGUUUAGGGGUUAGAUACUGUAGUAUAGUAGGAGUGUAGUAUGCCAUGGGUCUCUCAUGAAACACACCCUACACACCCUAGACACACACACACACACACCCUACAUACACACACACCCUACACACACACACACUUGUGUGUGAGGCCGCAGUGUUCAACCCUGGCCCUUACUGCUGAACAAGUCUAAUUUAGAUGGGUUAGGGUUAGGGUUAGUAAAUGUGAUGUCAUGUGAUGGGUAAGGGUUACCCUGCUGUCGGACCAAGAGCCUUGUGUACCACGGCGGAGGGAACUAGAGGCACCAAGAGCCUUGUGUCCCACGGCGGAGGGAACUAAAGGUCUACACACACACACACACACACACACACACACACACACACACACACACACGAGGCAUUAGAGGCAUCAUUAGAGGGAGACUCCGUGAAGAGCAUCCCAAUAGUUCUCUAGUUGCAGCAUUCAAGGACAUUAAAUUAUGUUUUUGUCAUCUCUAUAUUACUCUGUUCUGUAGCUACUCAGUAGGGGGAUACUGGGUUCCUGUUUAGAAUGGAAUUCCCUUUCUGAAGUAGACGUGAAAGAUAUAGGAAACUCCUCAAAAUGCUUACAAACAAACCUCUUAAUGCAGGCAAUGG
ensembl:lncRNA